rnacentral:lncRNA from 1 species
UAGGAAAGGUUCAACUUGGCAAAUGUAGUGCUUUAUGAAACUCGGUUUGUCAGGAAUCACGCAGAAGAUUGUUACUGCUAAUAAAUAGAAAUUGUUACUGCUAAUGAAAAUUAUGGGAUUGCUGUGAUACGGAAUUGUCCAUUAUAAAUGUUAAGCUUUCUGCAUAUCGUAGUCUUUAAUGUAAUUAGCUAUGUCCUAGCAAGAUUGUAUGUUAUUCAAAAGAUUAAACUAAUCUGAAUGUUAAGGAUAAAGUAGACCUAGAUUAGACUGGUUUUACUGUUACUAUUUUGUAAUAAUUUUCUCGCUGUAAUUAUGGAUCCUUGUAUAAGAAAAAUAUUUUUGAAAGAUUAUUACAUGUACUCAACAUCACCUUUGAAUUUUUCCCUUGCUGUUUUGUUAGCAAAGUGGAUAAAGCCAUAUGAACAUAAGGGUUAAAACAAGUGAUCUUAAUACAUUAAUGUAUCUGAUUAAUACAUGCUAAAAGGUAGGUGAACCUUGUAAACAGCGUUCUAGGUGAAAGAAGCUAGACACAAAAGACCACACAUUGUAUAACUUGAUUUAUAUGAAGUGUUCACAACUGGCAAAUUUGUAGAGAUGGAAAGUAGAUCAGUGGUUUUCAGGAGCUUGGGGUAGGAGGAAGUGGUGAAUAACUGCUGAUGGAUGUGGAACUUUUAGGGGUGAUAAAUAAAUUACAUUGAUUGUGGUGAUAGAUGUACAAUUCUGUGAAUAUACUAAAAUCUCUGAAUUGUAUAAAAGGGUGAAUUUAUGGUGUGUGAAUUAUAUCUCAAUAAAGUUAUUCAAAUUCUAGUGUUCUG